rnacentral:rRNA from 1 species
AGAGCGAACGCUGGCGGCAGGCCUAACACAUGCAAGUCGAGCGCCCGUAGCAAUACGGGAGCGGCAGACGGGAUAGUAACACGUGGGAACGCGCCCUUCGGUUCGGAAUAACUCAGGGAAACUUGAGCUAAUACCGAAUACGCCCUUACGGGGAAAGAUUUAUUGCCGAAGGAACGGCCCGCGUCCGAUUAGCUAGUUGGUGAGGUAAUGGCUCACCAAGGCUACGAUCGGUAGCUGGUCUGAGAGGAUGACCAGCAUCACUGGGACUGAGACACGGCCCAGACUCCUACGGGAGGCAGCAGUGGGGAAUAUGGACAAUGGGCGCAAGCCUGAUCCAGCAAUGCCGCGUGAGUGAAGAAGGUCUUAGGAUUGUAAAGCUCUUUCGGUGGGGACGAUGAUGACGGUACCCACAGAAGAAGCCCCGGCUAACUUCGUGCCAGCAGCCGC